UGACAUUGCAGGUACCUCAUCCAAACACAGU
rnacentral:piRNA from 1 species